rnacentral:lncRNA from 1 species
UAACUUAUUUCUGUUCAUUGAAUUGCAGUUCAGCCGACAAGACGGGAUUUCUCCCUGGAUCUUGGUGCGUUGCAUACACCUGUCAAGCCGAAGCUUCAAGGGCAGCCUCAGGGGAGCAUCUCGCAAAGACGCUCCUGCAAUAACAAUGAACUCACCAUCCAUUUGCUGCCUGAUUCCUUGAAACGAUGAGCGAGUUAAGAACACAUUGACCAAACCGCUGCAAUUUGCACUUCUCUGGGGAAGGGUAUGGUAAUGCAUGAGUCUGGACUUGCACGUCUUCCUGCACAUCUACAAGUGAGGACAGUCUGAAUAAUUAAGCACUUUGGAUGUUGAAAGCAGUUUGAACAUCGCCUAAACCCCGAGCUGAAUUUUGCUGUUUUCUUCAAGGAAUGAGGGCAUCAGAAACCCAGAGCAAGUCGAGGGCAUGCACGGUGGGUGAAGACAGGGUUUCACUCCCGGGUGCUGGAAGGAUCUUUCCCCUGGAGCUGACUGUGAUUGGGGCUGUCACUAUGACCAGUUCUGGUAAUGUUCACUCUGCCUUUGGAGUAAUUAUUUCCUGUAAGGAUUCAGCAGCUUCUGGUGAUGGUGAGGCUCUCCUGGGAAUCCUCUCUGGGGGCUGUGCAGAUGAGUGGGGUCCUUGCAGCUCGUGGUGGGGCUCUCCCAGUGAUAUCUGGCCAUGUGGAGCACUGGGCUGCACACCCAGCUCUGCCCUCUCCAAAUGGGGAGAGUAAAGGUGCAGCAUCCAGCACAGGUGUACCAUUAGGAUUAGGAAAUAUGAAAUAAGACUCUUUCAGAUGGGAAGAGAAGGAGCAUGAACCCUUCCAAAAGAAGUGGAUGAUAAGGAAGGCAGGUGGGAACAGGGCAGGCAGGGAACUCUUUCUAGGUAUGCCUACCUUAGAGGCAGCCCUGCUCCUAGGGCAGAACCUGCCUGGAGCCUUCUGGUGCUGUUGCUUAGGUACAGCACAGCCAUCGGGGGAACAACUAACAAUAACAACAACAAUAAUAAUAAUCAUAAUCAUAAUAGUAAUAAAAGUCCACUAUCAAUCA